rnacentral:lncRNA from 1 species
UUACAUUUCUUUUAGAACUUGUGUUUGGAACUGUUGACAUUUGAGUGCUUUUCACUUGCUGUGCCUGAUUCCCAACUGAUAAGAUCUGGAGGAUCAUUUCCAGAACAAGUACACUUUAAGCAGCUACAAAAUCGGGUCUAGGAAGCCUCUCUCUUAUAAACAUGCAAGAAAGAUGAAGAUAAGUAACAUAGACUUAGGAAUUUUCAAUUUUUCCUUACAAUAUUGUGAAAUAAGAUUUCAAAAGAGAAGUUUUCAUUAUUUUCGGUAAUAUCAAUGGUAAAAUGAGGUUUCUAAUAGAUUAUAUCUAAAUAAAGAGCUUUUAAACAAACUUGACUUGAAUGCAUUAAUAAAAGGCAAAUCCAUCAUUUCAAAAGACACACAGUGAUACUGAGACUCUAAAGCACACCCCCAGCACAGCAUGUGGCUCUACUGCUUUUCUUUAUCCAUUUCGAUGACUAAUUUAAAAAAAAAAAUGUACCUUUUGAUGUCUUUGUUGAUCUGGAGACAUAUGUGAGAGAAUUUAUUUAAAAAUUACCUAUACUUCCUUUUAAAAAAAAGAAAAAGCAAGCCUUUUGAUAUCUUUGCUGAUCUGGAGACAAACAUGAGGCGGGAAAAUUAACAAUUAUGUAGUUUCCUCCAAUAGCUAACACUUUUACUUCCUCAAAAAGUUAAAGUUUUUACAUGUCUUAAUCAUAUAACCCUAUUCUUUACAUUGUAACUUCUGCUUUCAGAUUUUUAGCAAAGCCUUGUCUUUUUCUUCAUUCACAUAGUUCCUUGUAGAUUAUUUCCCU